UGGGGAAUAUUGGACAAUGGGCGCAAGCCUGAUCCAGCAAUGCCGCGUGUGUGAAGAAGGCCUUCGGGUUGUAAAGCACUUUUAUCAGGAGCGAAACGCUGUCGGCUAAUACCCGGCGGAACUGACGGUACCUGAGGAAUAAGCACCGGCUAACUUCGUGCCAGCAGCCGCGGUAAUACGAAGGGUGCAAGCGUUAAUCGGAAUUACUGGGCGUAAAGCGUGCGUAGGCGGUUUCUUAAGUCUGCUGUGAAAUCCCCGGGCUCAACCUGGGAAUGGCAGUGGAUACUGGGAGGCUAGAGUGUGUCAGAGGGUGGUGGAAUUCCCGGUGUAGCGGUGAAAUGCGUAGAGAUCGGGAGGAACAUCAGUGGCGAAGGCGGCCACCUGGGACAACACUGACGCUGAGGCACGAAAGCGUGGGGAGCAAACAGGAUUAGAUACCCUGGUAGUCCACGCCCUAAAACGAUGCGAACUGGAUGUUGGUCUCAACUCGGAGAUCAGUGUCGAAAGCUAACGCGUUAAGUUCGCCGCCUGGGGAGUACGGUCGCAAGACUGAAACUCAAAGGAAUUGAC
rnacentral:rRNA from 1 species